rnacentral:tRNA from 1 species
GCAGUGGUGGCUCACUGGUAGGACUUUUGCCUCCCAUGCAGGAGACCUGGGUUCGAUUCCCAGCCAAUGUA